rnacentral:rRNA from 1 species
UACGUAGGGUGCGAGCGUUGUCCGGAAUUAUUGGGCGUAAAGAGCUUGUAGGCGGUUUGUCGCGUCUGCUGUGAAAUCUCAAGGCUCAACCUUGAGCUUGCAGUGGGUACGGGCAGACUAGAGUGUGGUAGGGGAGACUGGAAUUCCUGGCGUAGCGGUGAAAUGCGCAGAUAUCAGGAGGAACACCGAUGGCGAAGGCAGGUCUCUGGGCCACUACUGACGCUGAGAAGCGAAAGCAUGGGGAGCGAACAGG